rnacentral:rRNA from 1 species
UACGGAGGGUGCAAACGUUGCUCGGAAUCAUUGGGCGUAAAGCGCACGUAGGCGGUGCAGUAAGUCGGAUGUGAAAGCCCUCGGCUCAACCGCGGAAGUGCAUUCGAAACUGCUGUGCUCGAGUACGGAAGAGGGGCUCGGAAUUCCUGGUGUAGAGGUGAAAUUCGUAGAUAUUGGGAGGAACACCAGUGGCGAAGGCGGCGCCCUGGGCCGAUACUGACGCUGAGGCGCGAAAGCGUGGGGAGCAAACAGG